AUAGAUAGAUAGAUAGAUAGAUAGAUGAUAGAUAGAUAUAGAUAAAUAGCUGUCUUUGACUAUCUAUCUAUCUAUCUAUCUGA